GGAGGCGUCGCCUAGUCGGUCUAUGGCGCCCGCCUGCUAAGCGGGUUGAGUGUGAAAACUCUCGCGGGUUCGAAUCCCGCCGCCUCCG
rnacentral:tRNA from 1 species